rnacentral:rRNA from 1 species
UAAUAGAUACCCAGGUAGUCCACGCCGUAAACGAUGUCUGCUAGCCGUUGGGGGGCUUGUCCCUUCAGUGGCGGAGCUAACGCGAUAAGCAGACCGCCUGGGGAGUACGGCCGCAAGGUUAAAACUCAAAUGAAUUGACGGGGGCCCGCACAAGCGGUGGAGUAUGUGGUUUAAUUCGACGCAACGCGAAAAACCUUACCCGGUCUUGACAUCCUGGGAACCCUUUGGAGACAGAGGGGUGCCGCAAGGAGCCCAGAGACAGGUGCUGCAUGGCUGUCGUCAGCUCGUGUCGUGAGAUGUUGGGUUAAGUCCCGCAACGAGCGCAACCCUUGUCCCUAGUUGCCAGCCUUCAGUUGGGCACUCUAGGGAGACUGCCGGUGACAAACCGGAGGAAGGUGGGGAUGACGUCAAAGUCAUUAUGGCCCUUACGACCGGGGCUACACACGUACUACAAUGGGGCGCACAGAGGGUUGCAAUACCGCGAGGUGGAGCCGAAUCCCACAAAACGUCUCGUAGUCCGGAUCGGAGUCUGCAACUCGACUCCGUGAAGUCGG